ACGCUCGACACCUACGGAGGCAGCAGUGAGGGAUAUUGGUCAAUGGGGGGAACCCUGAACCAGCAACGCCGCGUGAGGGAUGACGGUCUUCGGAUUGUAAACCUCUGUCCUCUGUGAAGAUAAUGACGGUAGCAGAGGAGGAAGCUCCGGCUAACUACGUGCCAGUAGCCGCGGUAAUCUGAGCGGGCUGGCAAGGC
rnacentral:rRNA from 1 species